rnacentral:tRNA from 1 species
CCGAGUGUAGCUCAGUUGGUAGAGCGAUUGACCUGUAGUGUUCUAUACUGUGUUUCAGUAUUCCUCGGGAAUCAAAUGGUCGCUGGUUCGAUUCCGGCCACUCGGA